AGCGAAUCGUCCUGCUCACACUCCAAGCAGUGUGGACGGUGCUAUAUCUUCUCGUCUGAGCCGUGCUUCUUUUUUGGUGAACAGUCAAUGGUCUUUUCAAAGCAACCCAUUUUGUGGGAGUCAUAUCAUGCAGCCCUUAGAAGAUGAUGUACCAAGGUUAUCAGUGGAAUAAUUGGCUGCAGUAUCCGAAUUGUAAAAGGAAGGCAACAUUAAAGUUGGAAUUUGAAGGAUGUAAAAAAAGAUUCAUUUUGUGAAAACAGCUUGUUCCUUAGUCACUGUCUGGAUAUAAAGCUAGAUGACAGCACAGAACAUUCUGUCUGGACAGCAACUCAGAGGAGAGUUCAUUCUUGAGCUACAAAGGAGAUGACAUCUGGAUGAAUAACAAAUGCAUGAAAGACUGUGUGAGAGAGAGAGACAGAGAAAGAGAGAAAGCAAUUCUAUGAGGGUCCUAGACAUAAAUCAUUCAAUUUUUUUAGGUAUACAGAUUCACACAUAUUAAGCAAACUUCUAAAGAUAUUUUGCGGACCAAUAAAGUUAUUUUUCAUCCUCAUAAGAAUGAAAAUAUUUAGAUUGAAAUAUGAUGGCUGACUCCUGUUCUCAUAGACACUAAGGUAAAGGUACUGGUGGAAUUCUGCACUUCCAGUCAAAUUACAAAUAACAUGUAAAUUUAGAAAAGUUCUCCAAUGUACCCCUGCACCAAUAACCACCCGGAACUGAUGUGAUCAGCAAGUUUAUUUGCCAGAUGAUAACAUAUAUAUUAUCUUUAUUUGAAUUUCAAGAAGAAAUGUAAACAUCCCUCCCUCAAAACAACACAGCAGGAAUCCACAGAAGCAGCUUUCCAAACUACCCAUUUCUAAAUAUAACACUUACUACUGGAAAAGGAAAAAAAAGGGGCUUAACCACAUUUCUACUCAUAAUCCACCAUCAAAGCUAAACACCUUCAAUUAUCUACCACAGAGGAAGGGUGCUGAGAGGGUAUACAAACAUAUUUGACAAAUAAACUGAAAGGCUAUUCUUCUCACCUUAAAUACUAAUUACUCUCCGCACCACAUUCUGCAACUGGCUCACUUCCUUUAUUUUCUUUCACUCCAUUCUUCUUCAUUAAACCUCUAUCCCUGAAAACUUGCAAAACAGACCCAGGCAGGCAUUCAAGGGCAAAAAUGUUUGCCCAGCAAAGCUUUAUCAUCAUAGUUUUUCAGAGUUUCUCUGAGUCAAUGUAUAGCUUAGAGAAAAUUUUGAAUACUAAAGUCACCACAUUUUGCAAAGAAAAAUAAAUUCUCUGAAGUAAUUUUUUUUUCUGAGUAUAUAUGACCUUUAUGAAGCCAGAAGGAAAUAACAGAUAUUCUAAUAUUUUUGCACCUUGUAUGUCAGUUUUAUGAGCAGUGAAAUAAACCUGUUGCAGAGGAUUACUAAUUAAGGCUUACCAAUGUCCCAGUUAUAUGUCCUCUCGCAGAAAGUAAAUGUAGUACUUCUCAUGGUGAGGUCAGAAUGAAAUGAACCUUAGCAAUGCUCUUUGAUAUACUAUGUGUUGCUGCUGGUGUGUUGAAGGACUUGGUGGAAGUUUGUCCCUGGGUUGCAAUAAAUCAGAUAGAGUGACUGCCAAUCCCAUAUGUUUGGUUGGUGACAAUCGGGGUUUAACUGAUGCUCAGAUUUCGGGUAGAGCAGAAUAAUGUGUCAAAUUCACAUUUCAUUUAAAGGGAAAAAAAUGGAGUGUUCAGUAUGUGGACAUUUUCAGCUACUUGACAUGGAUGGAAUCCAGCAUAUUUUAUUUUUGAAGUCUGGUGCUAAGGACUGACCAACUGCUAAGUCCUUAGCACCAGAGCAUAGCAUCAGCUUUAGCAAGUUCUAGGCAAUAGGCAAAUGAUUAAGUUUGCAUAUAAAACCUGAAACAACUAGAUUGGGGGUUUUGCACCUUGUAUGGCAAUAGUUAUUGAAAAGGAAAU